ACACUUACCUGCCAGGGGAAAUAUCACGAUCACAAAGGUGGUUUUACUAGGGUGAGGCUUUGCCCCUGCACCUUGGAAAGGUUAAGUAUUGUCCUAUGAUUCAGAAGACAGGUUUCAAAAAGAACCUUCAUGAAACAUUAAUGAAGGAGCUCACGGAGCUCUGUUAAG